AAAAACGGAAAGCGUAAUCCAGGAAUUACGCUUCCACUUAUCCAGCGUGGCAAUAGCGGGGCCGGCCUCCUGUGUGGCUGACAGGUGGGUCCCACCUUAUCCACUUCUCUCUCUCCUCUCUUCUCUUCUUCCUCUCUCCCUCUCCCGAUGGCGCCCGCAGAGCAGAGGAGGCAGCAGCAAGGCCAGCGCCGUCCCGACGCCACCGGCCACCUCUGGCGAUGCUCCGGCCACCGGCGGGAUCAGAAUGGGACGCCGCACCUGACUGGCCACCGCAUGAGCAUCGAGGAGGGAUGGAGGGACGGUGACGGGUGGCCACCGAAGAAGACAGAGGCGGGCGGGGCUGUGGUGGUCCGGCCGGCUCCGGCCACCAUUGGCCGAGGCGAGGCCACCGGCAGCCUCCUCGAGGACCACCGCGCCCAUCCAGCACCGUAGCAGCUCUGGGGAAGGGCCCAGGGCGACGGUUACUCGCGGCAACAGAGAAAUAGGGGCGGUGGCGGCUAAUCUUGGGGACGACGGCCACAGCUACUCCGGCGACUAGAUAAGGGGUUGGGGAGGAUCACUGGCGAGUGGGGAAUCCAGUGGUGGUGGACAAAUGGAGGGGGAGGCUCGGCGUCGGGCUAAUUUAGUCGAGGCGCUCCGGCGACCGUGGCGGCCAAAAGAGAGGGGGAGGAGCUCCGGGGCUUGGGCGAGAGGCUUGGAGGGGCUAGACGAGGGUGGAGAGGCUGCGGGUGAGCUCGGGAGGGCUUGAGGAAGGCCAUUUAUAGGCGGGGCGAGGGGCACGGCCUCGGGUGCUGUCGGGCACGUCCAGCCAACGCUCUAGCGAGGCCAGCAAGCACAGGGAAGGCGACGAAGGAGAUGCGGACGAGCCGCAGAGCUCACAGGCAGAAGAGGUCGAGGGGAGGGAAGCAGCCAAGUGCCAUUAAUGCACGUUGGCACUGCUCACCCGUGGGCACGCAGCGACUAGCGCCGACGAGGAAGUGGACAGAGGGGAAGAGGGGUCCAGGAGGACGGCAACGACGCGGGCUAUCUACUGGACAUCCUCACGAGCGCGAAGUCGACGAGAGGGGGAGGGCCCCGAGCAAGAAGCCAUUCUAGGCACACUCAUGGCAUGCCAAAACGGUGGUCACCACCAGUGCUGGCAUGUGUGGGAGGCAAACAGCUAGCAAAUGUUGUCUAGUGGUAAGUUCCUCCAGGGUAGGUCUCAACUACGGUGGUAGAUUGGUGAAAACGGCUAUGGUUAAAAGGUUAGUGAGCUCUGAAGUUUACUGCAGUAAACUUUAUCAGCUCAAUGUGAUCAACAGGGAAUUGCUUGAAGCCAAAUAAGUUGUCUGGGGUGUUUAGGCUAGGAAGGACUACAGUCCUGGGGAGUUUGGGGGUUAAUGGACCAAGAUUUACCGCAGUUGCUUCACAACUGACCAAAAUGGUCCAGAAACUAGAUCAUGAUGGUGCACUUACAUGGAGUUAUGGAAUGGGAUGCAACUUGGCAAAUCCUCAUUAUAUGGACAUAUAAAGGUACUGUAAAAAGCUCAUGCAAAUGGACAAACCAAAAUGGCACUUGCUUCACAAACAUCAUUUCUGUCCAGAAACUUGGAAUAAUUAUGGUGAUCAAAUGGAUCAAUUAAAUGAUGCCAAAUUAGGUGGAGAGAUGUUUCAUGAGUAGAAUAAUGAUCUGGUAAUUUAUCGGGAUUUUUGAAGCAAUACAAAAUGCACUUGCUUCACGACUUGAAAAUAUUGCCAGAAUCAAAGAUUUGCUCCUGUGCUCACAUAGAUGAUUGGAUGGGGCUGCAAAUGGGUGGAAGGGGUUAAUAUGAUCACAUUAAGGAGUGUGCAAUAGUUCAUCUCAAUUGGUUAGUCCUAGCUAGUACUUCCUUCACAAAGCCUUCUGUCUGACAGAAACUUUGAAAAUUCUCUAAGCAAGAUUGGCUAGGAAUAUAAAUUUGAACUUGUGCAUGAGGCAAUUAUUUGGACAUAUAAACAUGCCCAAAAAGGUUGGGAGCCACUAGGAAAAAUAUAAAUGACACUUCCUUCACAAAGUGCCAUUCCGGGCAGAAUAGAAAAAGGAAUAUUGGGGAAUUAUAUUUGAACAUGGCAAUGAAAAGUUUUGGCAUAUUUGAUCAAGAUAUGACCCAAACAAUUUAUGAGAAUUAUUUCGGAAUUUUAGGAGUGAGGGAAAUAUAGGUUGCUUCACAACCUAGGGCAAUUUGAGUUAUUCCUUUAAUAGAAAAGGAAUAUUCCCAAUAAAAUAAUAUUGGGAUUUGGUCUAGGGAAAGAUUUGGGAAUGACAAGCCACUCUGGAAGUAAAGAAGAGGUCAUCUUCUUCAGUUUCCAGACCACAAAGCCACGGAAAAAGAAAACUCAGGCAAAAACCUCGAAAAAACAAAAGAAAAAGAAAGGGCCAAAAAUCAGGCUGUCACAAACCUUACCCCCUUAAAGAAAUCUCGUCCUCAAGAUUUGGUUGCUCAGGGAACUAGUGUGAAUAUUCUGACUUAAGGAAACCGUUUCCAACUCGGGUAUCCUUUUUCUUUUAUUGUUGUACCCACUAAAUCUUUAUCUGACUGGCCCUAGGUGGUUUGCUUUACUGUAUCCACAUUCUGACAGAUCUUACCUGGCUUGCUCAUGCUUAUAUAGGCUCCAAUUUCUUUUUAGAUCUGCUGACUAGCUAAGUGUGAUUUAAUUAUCACGACUGAAAUAUAUGUCUGUCUCACAAAUCCAAAAGCAAUUUCCACUGGGUGUGCCACCCGGCACUGACAACCUUUCAUGUAAUGAUGAUCAGAUUUUUCUGAUGAAAACUCAAGUUAUCACUCAUUGCAUUGGGUUUCUCCACUAAAUGCAGGUCCUUUGGGUUCCAAAUAGUGAGUUAAAACAUAACCAUUUCCUAACAGAUUCUGACUCAUCGCAGAAGUUUCUGAACCAUCUUAACUGGUUCCAUUGUCAUGAGUAUUGGAUCUGUACCAAAUAUUUGAUUGUCUCCUGUUUCGGCCAGCAUAAAGGGCUUGGCCUGUAUGAUAAUAUCUGCAUACUUGGCUGACAGUGGUUCUGACGAAAAAAAUUUGUUCACGACAGGCUAUCCAUGAUGAUUCAUAUAAGUGAGGACUGAGGCUUCCAGACUGUUAUUCCUCAUGCCGAUUACUCAUGCUGUAGGCAUAUCCAUGUGGAUCAAUACUAACUUAGACUGUCUGGGGGAUCUGCACCAUGGGGGUCGUGUACAAUUUUCACACCUGCCUCACUGGUCUUGCUCCUUCAUUAUCAUUUUCUUGGUCUGGAUCUUUGGCUGAAAGAGAUGGGCCAUAUUGCUUCUUCGUAUGACCAUAGGUUCUGUCGGUGCAAUUUUUUCGGCAAUUGUAGUUUAUCCUCAUUUUUCUGAUAGGGUAACCCAUUAAAUGGCAGGUUCAACACCUCACAAGUUCUGAUCGUUGGGAAAUGAUCAUUCGAACCCUUGCAAGAAAUCGGCAAAUAAAUCAGUAGCCACCAGACCGGUCUUUACAACUUCGCAUGCCACUGCGCACCACUGGCUGCACAGCCUCCCGCCACGCACGUCCGGAGAGGCCCCCAGAGCGACACGUUGGUGGAUGCGCUGGAGCGUGGACGCAGAGUGGCCGCCUGCCGCGGCAAGCGCCUUGCCGCUGUUGUUAUCUUGUCGGGUCCGGAAGCUUGUCGCUCACCGGGCUUCGAGGUGCCUUGGUUUGUCUUCCCGGCAAGCUCCUCUUGCCGGGGCCUUGUUGCCUUGCCGGAGCGCGUGACGCGUCGCGGCAAGUUCAUUGGAGCGCCUUGGUUGGCCUUCCCGGCAAGCUCCCCUUGCCGGGGUCUUGUCUCCUUAGCUUAAAUACUUUGUUCUUGGAUGGCUCCAAGGGAACCUUGGGGGAUCUUGGCGAUCACCCGGCAAGCCUUUGCCGCGGGGUGCUGCAACUGCCCGUGCACAAGUUCGGGGUACUAGGGUACCCCUAAUCUAGUACGUCGACAGUAGGCAUAUAUAGGAGGAAGAAGUACGUCGGUGGCCGCCCGAUGGGCCCACAAGACAGGGGGCGCGCCCUGUAGGGGUGGGCGCGCCCUCCUAUCUCGUGACCGCCUCGGCUGCUUCUUGACUUGCACUCCAAGUCCUCUGGAUCACGUCCGUUCCAAAAUCACGCUCCCGAAGGUUUCAUUCCGUUUGGACUCCGUUUGAUAUUCCUUUUCUUCGAAAUAUUGAAAUAGUCAAAAAAAUAGCAAUACGGGUUGGGCCUCUGGUUAGUAGGUUAGUCCCAAAAAUGAUAUAAAUGUGUAAAAUAAAGCCCAUAAACAUCCAAAAGGGGUAAUAUAAUAGCAUGGGACAAUCAAAAAUUAUAGAUACGUUGGAGACGUAUCAAGCAUCCCCAAGCUUAAUCCCUGCUCGUCCUCGAGUAGGUAAAUGAUAAAAACAGAAUUUUUGAUGUGGAAUGCUACCUAGCAUAAUUCUCAAUGUAAUUUUCUUUAUUGUGGCAUGAUUGUUCAGAUCCAAAUGAUUCAAGAUAAAAGCUUAUAAAACAUAAAAAUAAUAAUGCUUCGAAGCAUACUAACAAAUAAUCAUGUCCUAUCAAAAUAGCAUAGCCAAAGAAAGCUUAUCCCUACAAAAUCAUAUAGUUAGGCCAUGCUUCAUUUUCAUUACACAAAAUACUCCCAUUAUGAACAACCCCGAUGACGAGCCGAGCAAUUGGUUCAUACUUUUUAACGCACUUCAGCUUUUUUCAACUCUUACGCAAUACAUGAGCGUAAGCCAUGGACAUAGCACUAUGGUGGUAUAAGGUUGUGGUUGUGAGGACAAAAAGAGAGAGAAGAUAGUCUCACAUCAACUAGGCGUAUCAACGGGCUAUGGAGAUGCCCAUCAAUAGAUAUCAAUGUGAGUGAGUAGGGAUUGUCAUGCAAUGGAUGCACUAGAGCUAUAAAUAUAUGAAAGCUCAACAAAAGAAACUAAGUGGCUGUGCAUCCAACUUGCUUGCUCACGAAGACCUAGGGCAUUUUGAGGAAGCCCAUCAUUGGAAUAUACAAGCCAAGUUCUAUAAUGAAAAAUUCCCACUUAGUAUAUAAAAGUGACAACAUAGGAGACUCUCUAUCAUGAAGAUCAUGGUGCUACUUUGGAGCACAAGUGUGGAAAAAGAGAUAGUAGCAUCGUCCCUUCUCUCUUUUUCUCUCAUUUAUUUUUUCCCUUUUUUCUUCUUUUUCUUCUUUUUUUCUCUUUUCUUUUUUUUCUUUGGCCUUUCUUUUUCUUUUUUUUGGCCUUUCUCUUUUUUUUUGUAAAGUCCGGAGUCUCAUCCCGACUUGUGGGGGAAUCAUAGUCUUCAUCGUCAUUUCCUCACUGAGACAAUGCUCUAAUAAUGAAGAUCAUCACACUUUUAUUAAUUUACAACUCAAGAAUUACAACUCAAAGCUAGAACAAGAUAUGACUCUAUAUGAAUGCCUCCGGCGGUGUACCAGGAUAUGCAAUGAAUCAAGAGCGACAUGUAUGAAAAUUAUGAAGGUGGCCUUGCCACAAAUAUGAUGUCAACUACAUGAUCAUGCAAAGAGCAAUAUGACAAUGAUGGAACGUGUCAUAAUAAACGGAACAGUGGAAAGUUGCAUGGCAAUAUAUCUCGGAAUGGCUAUGGAAAUGCCAUAAUAGGUAGGUAUGGUGGCUGUUUUGAGGAAGGUAAAUAAUGGGUGAUACCGGCGAAAAGUUGCAUGGUAUAAUAGAGGCUAGCAAAGUGGGAGGUUGAGUGUGCGUAUAUCCAUGGACUCACAUUAGUCAGAAAGAACUCAUAUACUUAUUGGAAAAGUCUAUUUAGCCCUCAAAGCUGAGUACUACUACGCAUGCCCCUAGAGGGAUAGAUUGGUAGGAAAAGACCAUCGCUCGUCCCCGACUGCCACUCAUAAGGAAGACAAUCAAAAGAGCACCUCAUGCAACAAAUUUGUCACACAACUUUUACCAUACGUGCAUGCUACGGGACUUUCCAACUUCAACACAAGUAUUUCUCAAUUUCAUAAUUACCCACUAGCAUGACCCUAACAUUACUACCUUUAUAUCUCAAAACAAUUAUCAAGCAUCAAAUUGAUCCUAGUGUUUUACGCACUUUCUAUGAUAGUUUUUAUUAUACCCAACUUGGAUGCUCAUCAUUCUAGGACCAAAUUUGUAACCAUAGCAAAUACCAUGCUGUUCUAAAAGACUAUCAAAAUAAUAUAAGUGAAGCAUGAGAGACUAGCAAUUUCUUCAAAAUUAAGCCACCGCCGUGCUCUAAAAGAUAUAAGUGAAGCACUAGAGCAAAACUAUCAAGCUCAAAAGAUAUAAGUGAAGCACAUAGAGUAUUCUAGCAAAUUCUAAUCAAGUGGGAUUCUCCCAAAAGGUUUGUACAGCAAGUAUGAUUAUGUUAAACUAAAAAGCAAAGACUAAUAUAAUACACGACGCUCCAAGCAAAACACAUAUCAUGUGGCGAAUAAAAAUAUAGCUCCAAAUAAAGUUACCAAUGAACGAAGACGAAAGAGGGGAUGCCUUUCCGGGGCAUCCCCAAGCUUAAGCUUUUGGCUAUUCUUGAAUACUUGAGGUGCCUUGGGCAUACCCAAGCUUAGGCUCUUGCCACUCCUUAUUCCAUAGUCCAUCAAAGCUUUACCCAAAACUUGAAAACUUCACAACACAAAACUCAACAGGAAAUCUUAUAAGCUUCGUUAGUGAAAGAAAACAAAACCACCACAUAAGGUACUGUAAUAAACUCAUUAUUUAUUUAUUUUGGUGUUAAACCUACUGUAUUCCAACUUCUCUAUGGUUUAUAAACUAUUUUACUAGCCAUAGAUGCAUCGAAAUAAGCAAACAACACACGAAAAACAGAAUAUGUCAAAAACAGAACAGUCUGUAGAAAUCUGUAACUAACGCAAAUUUCUGGAACUCUAAAAAUCCUACGAAAAUAGAAAGUCCUGGAAAAUUUUACUAUUGAUCAUCACCAAAAAUAAUCAACGCAAAAGCACGUUUUUGUGAUUUAACAAAACUAAUUUUGUGCGCGCAAAGUUUCUAUUUUUCAGCAGAAUCAAAUCAACUAUCAUCAUAGGUUAUCCUAUAGGUUCUACUUGGCACAAACACUAAUUAAAAGGUAAAAACACAUCUAAACAGGAGGUAGAUGCAAAAUUUAUUACUAAACAGGAACAAAAACAAAAUACACAAAUAAAAUUGGGUUGCCUCCCAACUAGCGCUAUCGUUUAACGCCCCUAGCUAGGCAUAAAAGCGAAGAUAGAUCUAAGUAGUGACAUCUUUGGCACUAAAUUCAUAAGUAGCCCGCAUGAUAGAUUCAUAAGGUAAUUUGACUUUCUUUCUUGGAAAGUGCUCCAUGCCUUUCCUUAAUGGAAAUUGGAAUCUAAUAUUCCCUUCCUUCAAAUCAAAAAUUGCACCAAUCGUUCUAAGGAAAGGUCUACCAAGAAUAAUAGGGCAAGAAAGAUUGCAAUCUAUAUCAAGAACGAUAAAAUCUACGGGCACCAAAUUUCUAUUUGCAACAAUGAGAUCAUCAUUGAUCCUUCCCAUUGGCUUUUUAAUGGUGGAAUCCAUAAGGUGCAAAUUUAAAGAGCAAUCAUCAAGAUCAUGGAAACCUAGAAUAUCACAUAAAGUUUUCAGAAUCGUGGAAACGCUAGCACCCAAAUCACACAAAGCAAAACACUCAUGAUCUUUAAUUCUAAUAUUUAUAGUAGGUUCCCACUCAUCAUUAACUUUUCUAGGUAUAGAAACUUCCAAAAUAAGUUUUUCAUCAUAAGAUUGCAUCAAGGCAUCAACGAAAUGUUUGGUAAAAGCUUUAUUUUGACUAUAAGCAUGAGGAGAAUUAACAACGGAUUGCAACAAGGAAAUACAACCUUCUAAAGAACAAUUAUCAUAAUCAAAUUCCUUGAAAUCCGAGAUAGUGGGUUCGAUGCUAUUUAAAGUCAUGACCUCUCCAAUCUCGCUUUUACCAAAUUUAGCAUCAAGAUCUAAAAACUCCGAAUUCUUGGGACACCUUCUAACUAAAGUUGACUCAUCUCCAGUCUCAUUAUUAUCAAGAUUCAUAUUGCAAAACAAAGAUCUAAUAGGAGACGCAUCAAUAACUUUAAGAUCUUCAUCAUUAUUUUCAUUGAAACUAGAAGAACACGCCUUUACAAAGCAAUCUUUCUUAGCACGCAAUCUAGCGGUUCUUUCCUUGCACUCAUCAAUGGAAAUUCUCAUGGCUUUGAGAGACUCAUUGAUAUCAUGCUUAAGAGAACAAGAUCUAAGUUUAAGAGAAUCAACAUCAAGUGAAAGACUAUCAAUGUUCCUAGCCAAAUCAUCAACUUUGAGAAAUUUUUCAUCAAGCAAGGCAUUAAAAUUCUUUUGAGAAAUCAUAAAUUCUUUCACACUAUUCUCAAAAUCAGAGGGCAUCUUAUUAAAAUUACCAUAAGAAUUAUUGUAGGAAUUUCCAUAAUUAUUAGAGGAAUUACUAGAGAACGGUCUAGAAUUAAAGUUUCCUCUAUAAGCAUUGUUUCCAAAACUAUUCCUACCAACAAAAUUCACAUCCAUAGAUUCAUUAUUAUUCUCAAUCAAAGUAGACAAAGGAAUAUCACCGGGAUCAAGAGGAGUAUUUCUAGUAGCAAACAAUUUCAUAAGUUCAUCCGUCUUUCCACUCAAAAUAUUGAUUUCUUCUAUAGCAUGCACUUUUUUACUAGAAGAUCUUUCGGUGUGCCAUUGAGAAUAAUUAGCCAUAAUAUUAUCAAGAAGUUUUGCAGCAUCUCCUAACGUGAUUUCCAUAAACGUGCCUCCCGCGGCCAAAUCUAAAAGAUUUCUAGAAGCAAAGUUCAAACCGGCAUAAAAAUUUUGUAUGAUCAUCCAUAAAUUCAAACCAUGAGUAGGGCAAUUGCGAAUCAUCAAUUUCAUUCUUUCCCAAGAUUGGGCAACAUGCUCAUGAUCAAGUUGUUUAAAACUCAUAAUAUUGUUCCUAAGAGUGAUAAUCUUAGCAGGAGGAAAAUACUUAGAUAUAAAAGCAUCUUUGCACUUGUUCCAAGAAUAUAUACUAUUUUUAGGCAAAGAUGAAAACCAAACUUUAGCACGAUAUCUAAGUGAAAACGGAAAUAACUUCAAUUUAACAAUAUCAUUAUCCGUGUCUUUCUUGUUUUGCAUAUCACACAAAUCAACAAAGUUGUUUAUAUGAGUAGCGGCAUCUUCACUAGGAAGGCCGGCGAAUUGGUCUUUCAUAACAAGAUUCAACAACGCAGUAUUGAUUUCACAAGACUCAACAUCAUUAAGAGGAGCAAUCAGAGUGCAAAGGAAAUCAUUAUUAUUGGUAUUGGAGAAAUCACACAAUUUGGUAUUAUCUUGCGCCAUGGCAACAAGUAAUCGAACACAAAAGCAAACAAAAAAAGCCAAGCGAAAGAGAGAGAGAGAGAUUGGGAAAGAGAGGGCAAAUAAAACAGCAAGGGUGAAGUGGGGAGAGGAAAAUGAGAGGCAAAUGGAAAAUAAUGUAAAUGCGAGGGAGAUGAGUUUGUGAUGGGUACUUGGUUUAUCUUGACUUGAGUGAAGACCUCCCCGGCAACGGCGCCAGAAAUCCUUCUUGCUACGUCUUGAGCUUGCGUUGGUUUUCCUUGAAGAGGAAAGGGUGAUGCAGCAAUAGUAGCGUAAGUAUUUCCCUCAGUUUUUGAGAACCAAGGUAUCAAUCCAGUAGGAGGCUCCUCAAAAGUCCCACGCACCAACGCAAACAAACAAAGAACUCGCAACCAACGCAAUAAAGGGGUUGUCAAUCCCUUCACGACCACUUGCGGAAGUGAGAUCUAAUAGAGAUAGUAUGAUAAGAUUAAUAUAUUUUUGGUAUUUUAUAAUAUAGAUGCAAAAGGUAAAGAUGCAAAUAAAAGUAGAUUGAAAGUUUAUAUGAUAAAAGAUAGACCCGGGGGCCAUAGGUUUCACUAGUGGCUUCUCUCAAGAUAGCAUAAGCAUUAUGGUGGGUGAACAAAUUACUGUCGAGCAAUUGAUAGAAAAGCGAAUAAUUAUGAGAUUAUCUAGGCAUGAUCAUGUAUAUAGGCAUCACAUCCGUGACAAGUAGACCGACUCCUACAUGCAUCUACUACUAUUACUCCACACAUCGACCGACUCCUGCCUGCAUCUAGAGUAUUAAGUUCAUAAAGAACAGAGUAACGCAUUAAGAAAGAUGACAUGAUGUAGAGGGAUAAACUCAUGCAAUAUGAUAUAAACCCCAUCUUUUUAUCCUCGAUGGCAACAAUACAAUACGUGCCUUGCUACCCCUGCUGUCACUGGGAAAGGACACCGCAAGAUUGAACCGAAAGCUAAGCACUUCUCCCAUGGCAAGAAAGAUCAAUCUAGUAGGCCAAACCAAACUGAUAAUUCGAAGAGACUUGCAAAGAUAACUCAAUCAUACAUAAAAGAAUUCAGAGGAGAUUCAAAUAUUUCUCAUAGAUAAACUUGAUCAUAAACCCACAAUUCAUCGGAUCUCAACAAACACACCGCAAAAAGAGUUUAUAUCGAAUAGAUGUCCACAAGAGAGGGGGAGAACAUUGUAUUGAGAUCAAAAAAGAGAGAAGAAGCCAUCUAGCUAAUAACUAUGGACCUGAAGGUCUGUGGUAAACUACUCACAACUCAUCGGAGGGGCUAUGGUGUUGAUGUAGAAGCCCUCUGUGGUCGAUUCCACCUCCGGCGGAGCACCGACAAAGGCUCCAAGACGAGAUCUCGCGGAUACAGAAGGUUAUGGAGGUGGAAAUUGUGUUUCGUUGGCUCCCUGGAUGUUUUCAGGGUACGUAGGUAUAUAUAGGAGGAAGAAGUACGUCGGUGGCCGCCCGAGGGGCCCACAAGAUAGGGGGCGCGCCCUCCUAUCUCGUGGCCACCUCGGCUGGUUCUUGACUUGCACUCCAAGUCCUCUGGAUCACGUUCGUUCCAAAAAUCACGCUCCCGAAGGUUUUAUUCCGUUUGGACUCCGUUUGAUAUUCCUUUUCUUUGAAAUACUGAAAUAGGCUAAAAAACAGCAAUACGGGCUGGGCCUUCGGUUAGUAGGUUAGUCCCAAAAAUGAUAUAAAUGGGUAAAAUAAAGCCCGUAAACAUCCAAAAGGGGUAAUAUAAUAGCAUGGAACAAUCAAAAAUUAUAGAUACGUUGGAGACGUAUAAAGCGUCACUUGGAAAUCUGUUUCCUUAGUAUUACCUCGACCCCCUUUAACAGUACGGUGUUUCCUAUCACUCAAGAAGAAGAAAAAAGAAACUACGAAAACAAAAGUGUUCACGCUCCAGAUUCCUCGCAUGAAUAUCGAAGUCUUCACGGUUGCACCAAUUUCUUCACUUUCAAAGUCUUCAGGAGAACCAAAGUCUUCAGCCGAAUACAUUCAUUUUUAGGGGUCGACUUUCACUGUAAAUAUCAAAAUCCUCAUUGACUUAUAGAGCCUGUGUACACCCACAAACAUAUUAGUCCCUUAACACAUAAGUCUUCAAUACACCAAAAUCGCUAAGGGGCACUAGAUGCACUUACAAAUAUAAGUGAAGCAUGACAGAUCAAUAAUUUCUACAAAAUUAAGCCACCGCCGUGCUCUAAAAAGAUAUAAGUGAAGCACUAGAGCAAAAUUAUCUAGCUCAAAAGAUCUAAGUGAAGCACAUAGAGUAUUCUAAUAAAUUACUAAUCAUGUGUGUGUCUCCAAAAGGUGUGUACAGCAAGGAUGAUUGUGGUAAACUAAAAAGCAAAGACUCAUAUCAUACAAGAUGCUCCAAGCAAAACCCAUAUCAUGUGGCAAAUAAAAAUAUAGCUCCAAGUAAAGUUACCGAUAAACGAAGACGAAAGAGGGGAUGCCUCCCGGGGCAUCACCAAGCUUAGGCUCUUGGUUGUCCUUGAAUUAUGUUGGGGUGCCAUGGGCAUCCCCAAGCUUAGGAUCGUGCCACUCCUUAUUACAUAGUCCAUCAAAUCUUUACCCAAAACUUAAAAACUUCACAACACAAAACUCAACAGGAAAUCUCAUAAGGUCCGUUAGUGCAAGAAAGAAAAACCACCACAUAAGGUAUUGUAAUGAACCUAUUCUUUAUUUAUAUCGGUGUUAAACCUACUAUAUUUCAACUUCUCUAUGGUUCAUACCCCUCGAUACUAGCCAUAGAUUCAUCAAAAUAAGCAAACAACACACGAAAAACAAAAUCUCUCAAAAACAGAACAGUCUGUAGCAAUCUGUAACUUUCGAAUCUUCUGGAACUCUAAAAAUCCUACCAAAAUAGGUAGUCAUGGGCAAUUUGUCUGUUGAUCUACUUCAAAAAUAAUAAACGCAAAAUCACGUUUCAGUGAUUUACUAAAAUUAUUCUCGUGCACACAAAAGUUUCUGUUUUUCAGCAAAAUCAAAUUCACUAUCACCGUAUGCUAUCCUAUCGGUUCUACUUGGCACAAACACUAAUUAAAACAUAAAACCACAUCUAAACAGAAGCUAGAUGAUUUAUUUAUUACUAAACAGAAGCAAAAAAGUAAGGAACAAAAAUAAAAUUGGGUUGCCUCCCAACAAGCGCUAUCGUUUAACGCCCCUAGCUAGGCAUAAAAGCGAGAAUAGAUCUAAGUAUUGCCAUCUUUGGCAUUCAAUUCAUAAGUAGCUCGCAUAAUAGAUUCAUAAGGUAAUUUGAAUUUCUUUCUACGAAAGUGUUCCAUGCCUUUCCUUAAUGGAAAUUGGAAUCUAAUAUUCCCUUCCUUCAUAUCAAUAAUUGCACCAAUCGUUCUAAGGAAAGGUCAACCAAGAAUAAUAGGACAUGAAAGAUUGCAAUCUAUAUAAAGAACGGUAAAAUCUACGGGAACAUAAUUCCUAUUUGCAACAAUAAGAACAUCAUUAAUCCUUCCCAUAGGUUUCUUAAUAGUGGAAUCCUCAAGGUGCAAGUUUAAAGAGCAAUCAUCAAAUUCAUGGAAACCUAGCACAUCACAUAAAGUUUUCGAAAUCGUGGAAACACUAGCACCCAAAUCACACAAAGCAUAGCAUUCAUGAUCUUUAAUUUUAAUUUUUAUGGUAGGUUCCCACUCAUCAUAAAGUUUUCUAGGUAUAGAAACUUCCAAUUCAAUUUUUUCUUCAUAAGAUUGCAUCAAAGCAUCAAUGAUAUGUUUGGUAAAAGCUUUAUUUUGACUAUAAGCAUGAGGGGAAUUCAACACGGAUUGCAACAAGGAAAUACAAUCUAUUAAAGAACAAUUAUCAUAAUUAAAUUCCUUGAAAUCCAUAAUAGUGGGUUCAUUGCUAUGUAAAGUUUUGACCUCUCCAAUCCCACUUUUACCAAAUUUAGCAUCAAGAUCUGAAAACUCUGAAUCAUUAGGAUGCCUUUUAGCUAAAGUAGACUCAUCUCCAGUCCCAUCAUUAUCAAGAUUCAUAUUGCAAAACAAAGAUUCAAUAGGGGACACAUCAAUAACUUUGAGAUCUUCAUCAUUAUUUUCAUGGAACCUAGAAGAAGACGCUCUUAAAAAGCAAUCUUUCUUAGCACACAUCCUAGCGGUUCUUUCUUUGCACUCAUCAAUGGAAAUUAUCAUGGCUUUGAGAGACUCAUUGAUAUCAUGCUUAGGUGGAAUAGAUCUAAGUUCCAAAGAAUCAACAUCAAGAGAAAGUCUAUCGAUGUUCCUAGCCAAUUCAUCAACUUUAAGCAUUUUUUCUUCAAGCAAAGCAUUGAAAUUCUUUUGAGAGAUCAUAAAUUCUUUAACACUAUUCUCAAAAUCAGAGGGAAUCUUAUUAAAAUUUCCAUAAGAGUUGUUGUAGGAAUUACCAUAAUUAUUAGAGGAAUUACUAGGAAACGGCCUAGGAUUAAAGUUUCCUCUAUACGUGUUGUUACCAAAAUUAUUCCUACCAAGAAAAUUCACAUCCAUAGAUUAAUUAUAUUCUCAAUCAAAGUAGACAAGGGCAUAUCAUUAGGAUCAAUAGGAGCACUCUUAGUAGCAAACAAUUUCAUAAGUUCAUCCGUCUUUCCAGUCCAAACAUUAAUUUCUUCUAUCGCAUGAACUUUCUUACUAGUAGAUCUUUCGGUGUGCCAUUGAGAAUAAUUAACCAUAAUAUUAUCAAGGAGUUUAGUAGCUUCUCCUAAAGUGAUUUCCAUAAAAUUGCCUCCCGCGGCCGAAUCUAAAAGAUUUCUAGAAGCAAAAUUUAAUCCGGCAUAAAAAAAUUGUAUGAUCAUCCAUAAAUUCAAACCAUGUGUAGGGCAAUUGUGAAUCAUUAAUUUCAUUCUUUCCCAAGAUUGGCCAACAUGCUCAUGAUCAAGUUGUUUAAAAUUCAUAAUAUUGUUUCUAAGAGAGAUGAUCUUAGCGGGAGGAAAAUACUUAGAGAUAAAAGCAUCUUUGCACUUAUUCCAUGAAUCAAUACUAUUUUUAGCCAAAGAUGAAAACCAAGUUUUAGCACGAUCUCUAAGUGAAAAUGGAAAUAACUUCAAUUUAACAAUAUCAUUAUCCGUAUCUUUCUUAUUUUGCAUAUCACACAAAUCAACAAAGUUAUUUAGAUGAGUAGCGGCAUCUUCACUAGGAAGGUCGGCGAAUUGAUCUAUAACAAGAUUCAGCAAAGCAGCAUUGAUUUCACAAGAUUCAACAUCAUUAAGAGGAGCAAUUGGAGUGCUAAGGAAAUAAUUAUUAUUGGUAUUGGAAAAGUCACACAAUUUGGUAUUAUCUUGCGCCAUAGUGACAAGCAAUCCAACAUACAAGCAAGCAAAAGGCAAGCGAAAAUGAGAGGCGAACAGGAAAGAGAGGGUGAAUAAAACGGCAAGGGUGAAGUGGGGGAGAGGAAAACGAGAGGCAAAUGGCAAAUAAUGUAAUGCGAGGGAGAUGAGUUUGUGAUGGGUACUUGGUAUGUCUUGACUUGAGCGAAGACCUCCCCAGCAACGGCGCUAGAAAUCCUUCUUGCUACCUCUUGAGCAUUGUGUUGGUUUUCCCUUGAAGAGGAAAGGGUGAUGCAGCAGAGUAGUGUAAGUAUUUCCCUCGGUUUUUGAGAACCAAGGUAUCAAUCCAGUAGGAGGCUCCUCAAAAGUCCCUAGUACCUACACAAACAAACAAGAACCUCACAACCAACGCGAUAAAGGGGUUGUCAAUCCCUUCGCAGUAACUUGCAAAAGUGAGGUCUGAUGGAGAUAAAUAAGAUAAGAUAAAUAUUUUUGGUAUUUUUAUGAUAUAGAUUGGAAAGUAAAAUUGCAAAAUAAAGUAGAUUGGAAACUUAUAUGAUAAAAGAUAGACCCAGGGGCCAUAGGUUUCACUAGUGGCUUCUCUCAAGAUAGCAUAAGUAUUAUGGUGGGUGAACAAAUUACUAUCGAGCAAUUGAUAGAAAAGUGAAUAUUUAUGAGAUUAUCUAGGCAUGGUUAUGUAUAUAGGCAUCACGACCGUGACAAGUAGAUCAACUCCUGCCUUCAUCUAGAGUAUUAAGUUCAUAAAGAAUAGAGUAACACAUUAAGAAAGAUGACAUGAUGUAGAGGGAUAAACUCAAGCAAUAUGAUAUAAACCCCAUCUUUUUAUCCUCGAUGGCAACAAUAUAGUACGUGCCUUGCUGCCCCUGCUGUCACUGGGAAAGGACACCGCAAGAUUGAACCCAAAGCUAAGCACUUCUCCCAUUGCAACAAAGAUCAAUCUAGUAGGCCAAACCAAACUAAUAAUUCGAAGAGACUUGCAAAGGUAACCAAUCACACAUAAAAUAAUUCAGAGAAGAUUCAAAUAUUUCUCAUAGAUAAACUUGAUCAUAAACCCACAAUUCAUCGGAUCUCGACAAACACACCGCAAAAAGAGUUACAUCGAAUAGAUCUCCAAGAAGAUCAAGGAGAACUUUGUACUGAGAUUCAAAGAGAGAGAAGAAGCCAUCUAGCUAAUAAUUAUGGACCCGAAGGUUUGUGGUAAACUACUCACAACUCAUCGGAGAUGCCUUGGAGAUGAUGUAGAGGCCCUCCAUGGUCGAUUCCCCCUCCGGCGGAGCGCCGGUGAAGGCUCCAAGAUGGGAUCUCGCGGAUACAGAAGGUUGCGGCGGUGGCAAUAGUUUUUCGUGGUGCUCCUCGAUGUUUUCAGGGUACGUGGAUAUAUAUAGGCGAAGGAGGUAGUCAGGGGAGCCAUGAGGGGCCCACGAGGGUGGGGGCGCGCACACCCCCGUAGGGCGUGCCCUCCUGCCUCAUGGCCGCCUUGGCUGCUUCUUGACGUCCACUCCAAGUCUCCUGGAUUGCGUUUGUUCCAAAAAGAUUGCUCCCAAAGGUUUCAUUCCAUUUGGACUAUGUUUGAUAUUCCUUUUCUUCGAAACACUGAAAUAGGCAAAAAAACAACAAUUCGGGCUGGGCCUCCGGUUAGUAGGUUAGUCCCAAAAAUGAUAUAAAAGUGUAAAGUAAAGCCCAUAAACAUCCAAAACGGGUAAUAUAAUAGCAUGGAACAAUAAAAAAUUAUAGAUACGUUGGAGACAUAUCAAUUCCGUGGACCGCCCUCGAACAAUCCCUCAAACACAAGACCAAAAGCACGACCUCUCUACUUGGUUGCAAGUGUACGAUCUUCAUGAUCCGGCAGUGCUUCGCCGUUCAGAGCUAAUAAUCGAUGGAGAAUUAGAGGGAGGAGUUUAGAACCACACAGGUCUUCUAAUUAUGAGGAUUAGAGGUGGCUAGGGCUCGCUCUAAUUAGUCAACUAGGACCAACUAGAACAUGCACUAGAUCAACUAGAGGAGGCUCCAAAACUUAUGUCCCAAUAGGGAGAAAUUCUCUAGUAUAUAUAGGUUAGGAGGUGAUGACCCACAAGUGUAGGGGAUCUAUCAUAGUCCUUUCGAUAAGUAAGACUGUCGAACCCAACGAGGAGCAGAAGGAAAUGACAAGCGGUUUUCAGUAAGGUAUUCUCUGCAAGCACUGAAAUUAUCGGUAACAGAUAGUUUUGUGAUAAGGUAAUUUGUAACGGGUAACAAGUAACAAAAGUUGCAGCAAGGUGGCCCAAUCCUUUUUGUAGCAAAGGACAAGCCUGGACAAAUUCUUAUAUGAAGGAAAAAGCUCCCGAGGACACAUGGGAAGUAUCGUCAAGCUAGUUUUCAUCACGCUCAUAUAAUUCGCGCUCGUUACUUUGAUAAUUUGAUAUGUGGGUGGAGCGGUGCUUGGGUACUGCUCUUUCUUGGACAAGCAUCCCACUUAUGAUUAACCCCUAUUGCAAGCAUCCGCAACUACAAAAGAAGUAUUAAGGUAAACCUAACCAUAGCAUGAAACAUAUGGAUCCAAAUCAACCCCUUACGAAGCAACGCAUAAACUAGGGUUUAAGAUUUUGUCACUCUAGCAACCCAUCGUCUACUUAUUACUUCCCAAUGCCUUCCUCUAGGCCCAAACAAUGGUGAAGUGUCAUGUAGUCGACAUUCACAUAACACCACUAGAGGAAAGACAACAUACAUCUCAUCAAAAUAUCAAACAAAUACCAAAUUCACAUGACUACUUAUAGCAAGACUUCUCCCAUGUCCUCAGGAACAAACGUAACUAGUCACAAAUCAUAUUCAUGUUCAUAAUCAGAGGGGUAUUAAUGUGCAUAUAGGAUCUGAACAUAUGAUUUUCCACCUAAUAAACCAACUAGCAUCAACUACAAGGAGUAAUCAACACUACUAGUGACCCACAGGUACCAAUCUGAGGUUUUGGGAGAAAGAUUGGAUACAAGAGAUGAACUAGGGUUUGAGAGGAGAUGGUGUUGGUGAAGAUGUUGAUGGAGAUUGACCCUCUCCCGGUGAGAGGAUCAAUGGUGAUGAUUUCCCCCUCUUGGAGGGAAGUUUCGCCGGCAGAACAUCUCCGCCGGAGCCCUAGAUUGGUUCCGUGAAGGUUCCGCCUCGUGGCGGUGGUGUUUCAUCCCGAAAGCUAGCUUAUGAUAUUUUUUUCCAGGGUAAAAGAAUUCAUAUAUCAUAAGAUGGUUACCGGAGGACUGCUAGGGGGCCCACGAGGCAGGGAGCGCGCCCAGGGGGGUAGGGCACGCCUCCCACCCUCGUGGCCAGGGUGUGGGCCCCCUCUGGUACUUUCUUCGCCCAGUAUUUUUUAUUAAUUCCAAAAAUAACUUUUGUGGAGUUUCAAGACUUUUGGAGUUGUGAAGAAUAGGUCUCUAAUAUUUGCUCCUUUUCCAGCCCAGAAUUCCAGCUGUCGGCAUUCUCCUUCUUCAUGUAAACCUUGUAAAAUAGGAGAGAAUAGGCAUAAGUGUUGUGACAUAACGUGUAAUAACAACCCAUAAUGCAAUAAAUAUCAAUAUAAAAGCAUGAUGCAAAAUGGAUGUAUCAACUCCCCCAAGCUUAGACCUCGCUUGUCCUUAAGCAGAAGCCGAAAUCGAAAAAUAUGUCCACAUGUUUAGAGAUAGAGGUGUCGAUAAAAUAAAAUACGGACAUGAGGCCANNNNNNNNNNNNNNNNNNNNNNNNNNNNNNNNNNNNNNNNNNNNNNNNNNNNNNNNNNNNNNNNNNNNNNNNNNNNNNNNNNNNNNNNNNNNNNNNNNNNNNNNNNNNNNNNNNNNNNNNNNNNNNNNNNNNNNNNNNNNNNNNNNNNNNNNNNNNNNNNNNNNNNNNNNNNNNNNNNNNNNNNNNNNNNNNNNNNNNNNNNNNNNNNNNNNNNNNNNNNNNNNNNNNNNNNNNNNNNNNNNNNNNNNNNNNNNNNNNNNNNNNNNNNNNNNNNNNNNNNNNNNNNNNNNNNNNNNNNNNNNNNNNNNNNNNNNNNNNNNNNNNNNNNNNNNNNNNNNNNNNNNNNNNNNNNNNNNNNNNNNNNNNNNNNNNNNNAUAUAAGAGCUUUUCAGCAAGUCCACAUACUCAACUACCAUUUAGUCUUUCACAAUUGCUAACACUCACGCAAUAAUUAUGGGUAUGAAGUUUUAAUCGGACACAGAGAAAGAUAGGGGCUUAUAGUGUUGCCUCCCAACCUUUUACCUCAAGGGUAAUGUCAACAAUAAUAGUUCAUGCUAACUUAGAUCCAAUUGGAUAUAUAUAUAUAUAUAUAUAUAUAUAUAUAUAUAUAUAUAUAUAUAUAUAUAUCAGGAUCGCUUACCAAAGGAUAAAAUGUAAAAAGGAAAGGUGAAGAUCACCAUGACUCUUGCACAAAGUAUAAGACGAGAAUAAAAGAUAAGCCCUUCGCAGAGGGAAGAAGAGGUUGUCAUGUGCUUUUAUAGUUGGAUGCAUGAAAUCUUAAUGCAAAAGAAUGUCACUUUAUAUUGCCACUUGUGAUAUGGACCUUUAGUAUGCAGUCCGUCGCUUUUAUUGCUUCCAUAUCACAAGAUCAUAUAAAGCUUAUUUUCUCCACACUAAUAAGUCAUACAUAUUUAGGGAGCAAUUUUUAUUACAUGCAGCAUGACAACUUACUUGAAGGAUCUUACUCAAUCCAUAGGUAGGUAUGGUGGACUCUCAUGGCAAAACUAGGUUUAAGGAUAUUUGGAAGCACAAGUAGUAUCUCUACUUGGUGCAAGGAAUUUGCCUAGCAUGAGAGGGAAAGGCAAGCUCAACAUGUUGGAUGAUCCAUGACAAUAUACUUUAUUUCAGAUAUAAGAAAACAUAACCCAUUACGUUGUCUUCCUUGUCCAACAUCAACUCUUUAGCAUGUAAUAUUUUAAUGAGUGCUCACAAUCAUAAAAGAUGUCUGAUAUGUCUCCGUCGUAUCUACUUUUCCAAACACUUUUGCCCUUGUUUUGGACUCUAACUUGCAUGAUUUGCCAUGGUGUUAUUUUUGUGCAGAAAUAAAAGUUCUCGGAAUGACCUGAAAAUCCAUGGAGCAACUUUUUGGAAUUAAUAAAAAAUAUUGGCGAAAGAAUCAACGUCAGGGGGCCCACACCCUGUCCACGAGGGUGGGAGGCGCCCCCCUAGGGUGCACCCCCUGCCUCGUGGGCCCCCUGGAGCUCCACCGACCUCAACUCCAACUCCAUAUAUUCACGUUUGGGGAGAAAAAAAUGGGAGAGAAGAAUUCAUCACGUUUUACGAUACGGAGCCGCCGCCAAGCCCUAAACUCUCUCGGGAGGGCUGAUCUGGAGUCCGUUCGGGGCUCCGGAGAGGGGAAUCCGUCGUUGUCGUCAUCAUCAACCAUCCUCCAUCACCAAUUUCAUGAUUCUCACCGCCGUGCGUGAGUAAUUCCAUCGUAGGCUUGUUGGACGGUGAUGGGUUGGAUGAGAUUUACCAUGUAAUCGAGUUAGUUUUCAUAGGGUUUGAUCCCUAGUAUCCAUUAUGUUCUGAGAUUGAUGUUGCUAUGACUUUGCUAUGCUUAAUGCUUGUCACUAGGGCCCGAGUGCCAUGAUUUCAGAUCUGAAUCUAUUAUGUUUUCAUGAAUAUAUAUGAGUUCUUGAGCCUAUCUUGCAAGUCUAUAGUCACCUAUUAUGUGUUAUGAUCCGACAACCCCGAAGUGACAAUAAUCGGGACCACUCUCGGUGAUAACCGUAGUUUGAGGAGUUCAUGUAUUCACUAAGUGUUAAAGCUUUGGUCCGGUACUCUAUUAAAAGGAGGCCUUAAUAUCCCUUGGUUUCCAAUAGGACCCCGUUGCCGCGGGAGGGUAGGACAAAAGAUUUCAUGCAAGUUCUUUUCUAUAAGCACAUAUGACUAUAUUCGGAAUACAUGCCUACAUUACAUUGAUGAACUGGAGCUAGUUCUGUGUCACCCUAUGUUAUAACUAUUACAUGAGGAAUCACAUCUGACAUAAUUAUCCAUCACUGAUCCAAUGCCUACGAGCUUUUCACAUAUUGCUCUUUGCUUAGUUACUUUACCGUUGCCACUGUUACAAUUACUACAAAACUUCUACUAUUACUUCUGCUACUGUUACCGUUACUUCCAUACUACUUUGCUACUAAAUACUUUGCUGCAGAUAUUAAGUUAUCCAGGUGUGGUUGAAUUGACAACUCAACUGCUAAUACUUGAGAAUAUUCUUUGGCUCUCCUUGUGUCGUAUCAAUAAAUUUGGGUUGAAUACUCUACCCUCAAACACUGUUGCGAUCCCCUAUACUUGUGGGUUAUCAAGACUAUUUUUUGGCUCCGUUGCCGGGAACAUAGCGCUAUUCUUUGAUUCACUUGGGAUUUAUAUCCGCUUAUCACUAUGAGGAACUUGAAAGACGAAAGAACUAAGAUUUUUCCCUCAACUAUGAGGGGAGGUAAGGAACUGCCAUCUAGCUCUGCACUUGAUUCGCCAUCUGUUUUGAGUAAGCUUGCGACCCCUAAACAUGCUUCUGCUAUUAAUUAUAAUAUGUCACAUGUUAUUGAUGAUGCCACUUCUGCUAUGCAUGACACUUAUGAUGAAACUACUUCUAUGCUUGAUACUAUUGUGCCAUUAGGUGAAUUUCUUGAUGAACAACUUGCUAGGGCUAGAGAGAAUAAAAUUCUUGAAACUGAUAAUAUUGAUGAAAGUGAUGAUGAAGAUUCUCCUCUAGAUAUGAAUUGCCUAUUGUGUGUGAGGGUUAUGUUAUGGAUGAAGAAACUGAUAGAGAUUUUCUUGCUUGCAAUGAUAGAUCUGAUCUUAAGAAAUUAUUAGCUAAGCUUAAAGAAAAGUCUCUGAAUGCUAGAAUGAAAUAUGACCCUGCUUUCGCUACUUCACCUAUCUGUGUUACUGAUAAGGAUUAUGAUCCUGAGAUAAUUCCUUUGGUUGAAUCUGAUCCUUCCUAUGGCUAUGAAUCUGAAACUGUUGUGGCACAUCUUACUAAGUUGAAUGAUAUAGCCACCCAAUUUACUAAUGAUGAGAAAACUCGCUACUACUAUAUCCUUAAGAUAUUUCCGUUCUCAUUAAAGGGUGAUGAUAAAACAAGGUUUAACUCUCUUGAUCUUGGUUGUGUGCGUAGUCCCCAGGAUAUGAUUUAUUACUGUGGCACCCCGGCUCAGAGAAAACCGGAACGCCUCGUAUUCCAGCCCAGAGAUCAAAAUGAAGUCUUCUGGAAUACGGCACUGCUUAGCAUAGAACAAACCAGCUCUUUAUUACAAUCUAUUUGGCUACAAUGGUUACAUUGGCACGGCGACACUAUGCCUGCCACUAUUGCUCUAUGCAAGCAGCAGAACAACAUGAUGCAGCGGAAGAACUCUAGCGGCGAAACAACGACGCCGGUGGUGCACUCCACUCCGCAAGGACUCUGGCUGGAACGCUUAUCCUAGCUCGCACGAACGGAAACCACGACAAGCAAGCAAUCAAAUCUGACAUGACCUGCAAACUGGCAUGACACGCCAGGUCAGUACAUUGAAUGUACUUGCAAGCUCACAUUAACCAGAAGCAUUCAAGACCAACAAGAGCAUGGCAAUUACAAGGUAAGCAGAAAUUAACAUGGUAUCAUCAUAGCAUCAUGGCAUCAACAUGAACAUGAUAUGUCUAGAACAACAUGAACAUGUCAAGAACAUAUGAAUCUGACAUACUAGCAUGCAACAUGAUGACACUAUAUGCACCACUUAUUCCGCUCGGGUUACUUGGUAACUGUCACAUGCAUCACUUACCAACCUCGGACAUCACACGAUCAUCUCAGGAUCAAAUCGAGCUUGGUAUAACCAAUACCGUAGCGAUUAGUAAAUGACCACAAGGAGCUUGAUCUUUACCCACGAUUCUCGCACAACAUCACGAAUAUCCAACAACUCGGUAUCCUCGAUACCACGGUGAUCCUUACGGCGAUCACAACCACGACCAACACUUGGUCUCAAACCGUGAUCCUUACGGCGAUCACAACCCGACCAAUAAAUGGCUCGUGAUCCUUACGACGAUCACAACCACGACCAACACUUGGUCUCAAACCGUGAUCCUUACGGCGAUCACAACCCGACCAAUAAAUGGCCCAUGAUCCUUACGGCGAUCACAACCAUGAGUUGUCAUUAAUCAAGUUAUUCUUAUUACUCUUGACUCAUGGUGUACCCUACUUUCAAACUGGGCCCUUAUCCAUGGGCGCGGCUAUCGAUAGAUUUAAUAUACACUCUGGAGAGGUUAGUACACUGUACCCACACUACAAAAACAAUGGCCUUGCACUCUCAUUCGGGUGGACCAACGGCGUUCCGACAAAACCGUCCUACUGACAUGACACUCUCCCGGCCACUCCGACUCACUCCCCACUGGGCUAACUCAUGGGUGGCCCCGUAUCUACCUCAAGACACCUCAACGACCACCAUUGUGGCCCAAAACAAUAAACCAUUCCAAACAGGGACAUGUGCGCAUAACAACAACAACGGGCACACAAGGCUUAUGUCCGCCUACCUGAUCAGGGUAGCGCGCGCCAUAACCUUCCCUCGUUGGAGGCACCAGUGAGAGGCAUGACAAUAGACCCAAUUAGGAUCGUCCCAUACCGGUAAGCGUGGUUGCACUGGUCAGCAUCAUUUCAGCGGCACCAUGACUCAGCCAAUAGUUGUUCAAGUUCAAUUUAAUUCGGUUAACUUGAAUGCAAAUAUGCUGGGCCAUGAUAAAAUGCAUGAACAUGAUAUCAACAUAAUCAUGAGGGUAUCACAUAACUAUCCACCAUAUGAACAAUGAAUCAUAUCCACUGAGCAUGGCAUACUGAGUAGCAUGAAGAUCACCAACAUCAACAUGCACUACUAGCAAGUAUAAACAUAUGAAAGGAAAUACUAGCAGGUAGAACAUGAUAACAGAGUACAAGACAACAUAGCACAAAAGUGAACAUGCAAAUCUAAACAUCCGGAACAACGAUAACCAUCUUUUCAACAAGCAAACAUUUAAUAAAGAUUCAAGUUGAAAACCAUGGCUACCGCAUGACUAUCAUGCAAGUGGGUAUUGUGGCUUGCCUGGGGUGGAAGAAAUCACCGGGAGAAAGUGCGAGAAACUCGCGGAACGAAUCGCCAGAAAAUGUUCUCUCUCGGAGAGGGCUGAAUAAGGGCAAGGGCAUAAUGGUCAUUUUCACAGUGUCAAACCAUAGUGAAAGCAUGACCAGCAGAACGGGCUCGACAAAAUGAAGAAGUGAGCGUUGGAAUGACCUCAUUUGGAGUUAUGGAUAAAAAGAUACAAGGGUUUUACUACCAGGGACCUAUCUAUCAAAAUUUAUUUUACAGACUGGGCCAAAACAGAAAAACGAAAAUCGUAAUCCAGGAAUUACGCUUCCACUUAUCCAGCGUGGCAGUAGCGGGGCCGGCCUCCUGUGUGGCUAACAGGUGGGUCCCACCUUAUCCACUUCUCUCUCUCCUCUCUUCUCUUCUUCCUCUCUCCCUCUCCCGAUGGCGCCCGCAGAGCAGAGGAGGCAGCAGCGAGGCCAGCGCCGUCCCGACGCCACC
rnacentral:lncRNA from 1 species